AACUUUGAGCAAUGGAUCUCUUGGCUCUCGCAUCGAUGAAGAACGCAGCGAAUUGCGAUACGUAAUGUCAAUUGCAGAUUUUCAGUGAAUCAUCGAAUCUUUGAACGCACCUUGCGCUCCUUGGUAUUCCGAGGAGCAUGCCUGUUUGAGUGUCAUUGAAUUCUCAACCAUUCUUUGAAUUGAUUUUUCGAGGAGUGGCUUGGAUUUUGGGAGUUUGCCGGCUUACCCUAGUGUACGGUCGGCUCUCCUUAAAAGCAUUAGCGAAAGGUGGCAAGCCCCUGCAUGCACGGCCUUCGACGUGAUAAUGAUCGUCGUGGCUGGAAGUGCGAGGCGCAGAUCGUCCUUUGCUUCUAAACAAUGGCAUCGGGGAGUCUGCUUCGGCAGACGAACCCUUUACCUCUGACGCUUGACCUCAAAUCAGGUAGGACUACCCGCUGAACUUAAGCAUAUCAAUAAGCGGAGGCU
rnacentral:misc_RNA from 1 species